ACACCACAGGUUGUUGCCAUGGCUUGUCUUCAGCUCUGUGUCGUGAGAUGUUUGGGUUAAGUCCCGCAACGAGGCGCAACCCUCGUCUCUAGUAGCUACCAUUUAGUUGGGCACUCUAGAGAAACUGCCGGUGAUAAGCCGGAGGAAGGUGGGGAUGACGUCAAGUCCUCAUGGCCCUUACGCGCUGGGCUACACACGUGCUACAAUGGCGGUGACACUGAGCAGCGACCCCGCGAGGGUGAGCUAAUCUCCAAAAGCCGUCUCAGUUCGGAUUGUUCUCUGCAACUCGAGAGCAUGAAGGCGGAAUCGCUAGUAAUCGCGGAUCAGCAUGCCGCGGUGAAUACGUUCCCAGGCCUUGUACACACCGCCCGUCACACCAUGGGAGUUGGUUUCACCCGAAGGCGCUACGCUAACCGCAAGGAGGCAGGCGAC
rnacentral:rRNA from 1 species